rnacentral:lncRNA from 1 species
GUUUAUCCGGAAACAGGGCCUAACCCUCGAUCUUUGUCAGCCUGGAUAUGAAGUGGUAGAACUGGAGGAAAUAGUUCCACAUGCUGUCAAAACAGCCUACCAGCUACCUAAAGCCUACCCACUUAAGAGCUGCUGUAAUGAUGUUUUGGAGGAAUUCAUAAUGAGCCUGCAAAAAGGAGUAAUAUGGAAGUCUCGCUUCAAUUUCAUACAUGAGUUUCAACAACAGCUCUCAGACUGAGACAUUCCUCUCUAAUGGUAGCAAGCAAACCUCUGCCUGAAGAACUAUGUCAAAAAAAUCUUGCUGACAUAACUAGAGCGUACCAGAAUGCCUUCAGACUUCAUUUGGCCAAAUGCAAAGCCAUUUCAGGUUGAAAUGUUUCAGUGCAUUUACAUAUGGACAAGAAGAUGCACAGGCACCACCUGUUUUGUAGGAAUUAUC